rnacentral:rRNA from 1 species
UACGUAGGGUGCAAGCGUUGUCCGGAAUUAUUGGGCGUAAAGAGCUCGUAGGCGGUCUGUCGCGUCUGCUGUGAAAACUCGGGGCUUAACCCCGGGCCUGCAGUGGGUACGGGCAGACUAGAGUGCGGUAGGGGAGACUGGAAUUCCUGGUGUAGCGGUGAAAUGCGCAGAUAUCAGGAGGAACACCGGUGGCGAAGGCGAGUCUCUGGGCCGUAACUGACGCUGAGGAGCGAAAGCAUGGGGAGCGAACAGG